UACAGAGGUCCCAAGCGUUGUUCGGAUUCAUUGGGCGUAAAGGGUGCGUAGGUGGCGCCGUAAGUCGGGUGUGAAAUUUCGGAGCUUAACUCCGAAACUGCAUUCGAUACUGCGGUGCUUGAGGACUGGAGAGGAGACUGGAAUUCAUGGUGUAGCAGUGAAAUGCGUAGAGAUCAUGAGGAAGACCAGUGGCGAAGGCGGGUCUCUGGACAGUUCCUGACACUGAGGCACGAAGGCCAGGGUAGCAAACGGG
rnacentral:rRNA from 1 species